UACGGAGGGUGCAAGCGUUAAUCGGAAUUACUGGGCGUAAAGCGCACGCAGGCGGUCUGUUAAGUCAGAUGUGAAAUCCCCGGGCUUAACCUGGGAACUGCAUUUGAAACUGGCAGGCUUGAGUCUUGUAGAGGGGGGUAGAAUUCCAGGUGUAGCGGUGAAAUGCGUAGAGAUCUGGAGGAAUACCGGUGGCGAAGGCGGCCCCCUGGACAAAGACUGACGCUCAUGCACGAAAGCGUGGGGAGCAAACAGG
rnacentral:rRNA from 1 species